ACCUACGGGCGGCAGCAGUCGAGGAUCUUCGGCAAUGGGCGCAAGCCUGACCGAGCGACGCCGCGUGCGGGAUGAAGGCCUUCGGGUUGUAAACCGCUGUCAGUGGGGAGGAAAUGCAGGUGGGUUCUCCCAUCUGUUUGACCUAUCCGCAGAGGAAGUGUGGGCUAAGUUCGUGCCAGCAGCCGCGGUAAGACGAACCACACAAACGUUAUUCGGAAUUACUGGGCUUAAAGGGUGCGUAGGCUGCGCAGAAAGUUGGGGGUGAAAUCCCUCGGCUCAACCGAGGAACUGCGCCCAAAACUACUGUGCUCGAGGGAGACAGAGGUGAGCGGAACUUAGGGUGGAGCGGUGAAAUGCGUUGAUAUCCUAAGGAACACCCGUGGCGAAAGCGGCUCACUGGGUCUCUUCUGACGCUGAUGCACGAAAGCUAGGGGAGCGAACGGGAUUAGAUACCCCAGUAGUCG
rnacentral:rRNA from 1 species